rnacentral:lncRNA from 1 species
UGCUGCUCAAAGGCUACAGAAAAGAUUCAUCUAUUGCUUAUGAAAAGAGGAGGAAUAUAUGACUAUUUAUAGGGCUUCUAAACCCUAACUCCUAAUAGGACUCCUACUUCUAACCAACUCCUAAUAGGACUCCUACUCAAGACUCCUAUUCCUUUACAACUCUUUAUUCUUCUCUAAGAAACAACCUCCUAACCCUAGC